ACAAAACCUGUGCUUUAGGAAUCCACAGUUAAGUGUAAUUCCUGAAGUGACAGGCAGCAGUUUGGUUUUGUGGGUCGGAACUUGGAUUAUGGGGUCGGACUGGCCAAGUCCGAGCGUCAGCUCCACCCCCUCCACGGCGGAGGCUGUCAGAGCAGAGGCUCCACCAGCUGGUGUUGAGCUCCGCCUUCCGCUUCUCCUGCUGCUUCAGGCCGUACUCGAAGAUGUUCAGGCAGAUGAUGACGAACUUGUCCUUGUAGGGGCAGCUUUCUCUCUGUGACCCACUGUCCACACUGAGUCCCUCAGCCACGAUGACAGGCGCCCACCACGUCCUCUGGGGGAAGGCGUGCAGGCUCAGCCCGCAGCUCCUAA